rnacentral:lncRNA from 1 species
GGAAGGGGUAAAUCACAGAUCAGUGUCAGAGGUGCGAUGAAAACCCAGGAGUUCUGAUUCCUGGGUCACCAUGCUCCCUUUGCCAAGGGUGGAGCCGACACCAACAGACUCUUAGCUCCUGUGCCCUGUGCAUCCUGGUGUUCGUGCACGUGCUGCACGGGAUCUGGAAAGAUACAUAAAUUUCCACUAGAAGAGGAGAAAGGCAUAAGACAGACCUCAGCUGUCAUUCAGGAAAGGAAGGGCCGCCAGUCUGGAGUGACAACUAGGAAGAGCUGCAUCCUGGGACAAUUUUAUGGCUGAUGAGAACAUAUCCUGAUCCACUCCACAUUUCAGUGUAACCUUGCAGUAUACCUGUAACACUGGAGGCACACAUCUCUUCCCUAGCAGCCCUUAAGAACCUGAAUGGUAGAGAGAGGGAGGAUCACAAAAGUUUGCUUCCAGCUCUAUACUCACCCACAGAUCAACGAGGGGCAAGGAUAGAAGCAGAGACAUCAAUGGAGAAGAGGCUAUAGAAAGAUUCUGAGCAAGAAAUGACAAUGGGUUGGUAAUGGUAGUGCAGGUGAUAAGAAGAAGUCACGUUCCAGAUGUACUUUUUCAGAUCAUUUGCUCUGGAGAAAGCCAGCAGGCAUGAGAGGCCCAUGUGGUGAGGAACUGAAGCCUCCUGCCCACAGCCACAUGUGUGAACUUAGAAAUUAGAAGAUCUUCUAGCCCAGUCAAUGGCUGUACAAUGGCUACAACCCUGGCUAAUACCUUGACUUCAACCUCACGAAACACUGAGCUAGAACCACCCAACUAAGCUGUUCCUAGAUUCCUCACCAUCAGGAACUGUGUGCUGUAAAAAUGCUUGUUAUUAUAAGCCACUAAAUUUUGAAGUGUUGUGUGACACAACAAUCUGUAAAUAAUUCAGAAUAGUAAAAUAUGAA